GUGCUCGCUUUGAUAGCAUGUAUACUAAAAUUGGAAUGAUACAGAUUAACAUGGCUCCUCUGCAAAGGUAACAUGCAAAUUUGUGAAGCACUCCAUAUUUUU
ensembl:snRNA U6 U6 spliceosomal RNA